CAAGAAGUCUCCAGCUGUGACACUUUGCAGAGGAACCAUCAGACAUCCCAGUGGGGAGAGCACCACAUGUCAGGAGGAGUUUGGAGGAGUUUGGAGACAGCUUUCAAUGGCCCAGAUUUGUGACUACUCAGCUGCUAAAAACCAACACCUAGUGCAGUUCCUCACAGAGCCUAUUUACUCUCCUGUGUCGGUAGCAUGUGGAAGAAAGGACAAGAGGAGAGGCAGAGCUAUACAGGAGCCUGUACCAGCCCACUGAAAAAAGCAGACUAGAAAUAAGAAAUGGGUCUGUUGCAAAUGAAGUGGAAGGUCGAAGGAGCUUGCUGGCCCUUGGCUGAUGUGUGCAUCU